UACAGAGGGUGCGAGCGUUAAUCGGAAUUACUGGGCGUAAAGCGUGCGUAGGCGGUUUGUUAAGUCCGUUGUGAAGGCCCUGGGCUCAACCUGGGAAUUGCAGUGGAUACUGGCGAGCUAGAGUGCGGUAGAGGAUGGUGGAAUUCCCGGUGUAGCGGUGAAAUGCGUAGAGAUCGGGAGGAACACCCGUGGCGAAGGCGGCCAUCUGGACCAGCACUGACGCUGAGGCACGAAAGCGUGGGGAGCGAACAGG
rnacentral:rRNA from 1 species